CUACGGGUGGCUGCAGUCGAGAAUCUUCGGCAAUGGACGAAAGUCUGACCGAGCGACGCCGCGUGCGGGAUGAAGGCCUUCGGGUUGUAAACCGCUGUCAGAGGGGAUGAAAUUUUGACAAAUCCUCAGAGGAAGGACGGGCUAAGUUCGUGCCAGCAGCCGCGGUAAGACGAACCGUCCAAACGUUAUUCGGAAUCACUGGGCUUAAAGGGUGCGUAGGCGGCUUGGUAAGUUGGGUGUGAAAUCCCUCGGCUCAACCGAGGAACUGCGCUCAAAACUACCAAGCUUGAGGGAGUCAGAGGUGAGCGGAACUCAGGGUGGAGCGGUGAGAUGCGUUGAUAUCCUGGGGAACACCGGUUGCGAAAGCUGCUCACUGGGGCUCUACUGACGCUGAGGCACGAAAGCUAGGGGAGCCAACGGGAUUAGAUACCCGCGUAGUC
rnacentral:rRNA from 1 species